UUUCAUUUGAGCCCGCCAGGUUUAUUGAAGAUGUGGUUGCUUGACAGAUAGAUGCAUGAAGCUCUUUUGUCAGGUGUCCGAUGAAUCAACAAACGCUCAACAUAUUUACAUGUGAACAACAAAUUAUAGGUUAACUAUUAUUAUAACAUUGAGUUUUUUUUGAUGAUAUUUAUCCAGUUAAAGGAGUAUCGGCGCUGUUGUCUACAGCUUCGGGCUGAUGGUGUUCUUCUUUCAUAGUUGUCAUCAUUACUACUGCCACUUAUUAUUAUAUAAUAAGCAAAUGAAUGAUAUCGAACACUCACGAGGCCGCAUGCUGUCAACAUCCAGAAUAUGUCCUUCGUACAUCGUCUUGUUGGAACACCUAUUGUUGGUUGUUGGAACAACAAGUAUCUUCGCCCGAUAAAGAAUAGUUCAGCUAAACUUUGUCCUUUUUAGAGAUAAGUCUCUCCGACGGGCUGUACACGAAGGCAAGAAAUGUACACAUCUGACACGCAUCCACAGGGAGCCAAAGGAGCCCACGAAAAUACAAUUGCACCAACAUCCACCAGGCAGCCAAUCGAAAAAAAAAAUUCAACUUUCUCAGCUGAUCGUUCGACACACGGACUAGUGGAUGGGGAUAGCAGACGACAGCGCGGGCGGCGUAGCUCGUUAUUGAAACAGGUUGUUUACAGCAGUAGCGAGCUACCGUUGCCGUAGUUAGCCAUCAGUAAUAGCGGUACGAGCCAGACAGACUAAUGAUAGACAGCGCAUAUCGAACAUAUGUUGCAAACAGGUGCUAUACAUAUACAGGUUGGCGUGUUAUGCAGCGAUCGCGACAGCUGUGACCAGCGAAGCACUGACGCCUGAAAGGGAUGACAAAGGUCAAUCGAAACUCCUUCGCCAGCUAACCGACUUAGAGGGCAUGAUAUAAUAUUAAUCAUAAUGUAAGGACGAUUAAUUAAGCGAUAUUUUGUUCAUUCUACUAUGUGUUCACGUUUUGUAACAGUCACCUACGAAGGUGUAGAUCUAAGUAGCAUCAAUGGCUAUUUAGCGCAGUGUUUUAAUUCGGGUCUUAUCAUUGCCUAAAACUGUCACCAUCUGGUAACGUCAUUAAGCGCGUGCUCUGGAAGAAAUUACUGUGACACGAUAGAGAAGAUAAAUAGUUUAUUAACACGAGCAGUUCAGCAGAUAUUAACACGAGUCCUGGUCAAAUGUUGCUUGAAAAGAGGCAUGUGGCGAUGCUGUAAGGAUUUCGAUCAUGAUGGCAUCGGCUGUCAAGAUAAUUGCGCGGUAGUUGAAGACAGGAGAUACAGGAGACUUUUGAUUACGACGGUGUUGGUAACAUUGGUGACAACUGCCCAUUUACCUAAGAGCAACAUGGACAUGACGAAGGUCUGCCUGAUGAUUCAUACUUAAAUCUGUGAAGUUAUUUGACAACAUAACUGGUGCGAUGAUGAUCGGAAGCUUUCGGACAUCAAAGACAAAUCAUCGUAGGAGAAGCUAAGAGAGCUAACUAGGCUGGCUUAACGACUGCGCGCCAUCUUUUUCAUACGCAGUGGCCAAUUUGUUUACGUGAAAACACUUUAUCGUAGCAUUAAUUUAUAAUCGUCACGUGUUUAUAAGAGCCAUAAUAAAAAAAAAAAACUCCAAUAUUAUUGAAUGGCAUUUAAUAGAGUACAACUUGCUGAGAGGAAUGUCCGCAGUAGUAAAAAAUCUCCAACUAUGUCGAAAACACAAUGCCCGAUUUCGAAAUUGCGAAUAGAUUUUGCACUAGACGUACUGUAAACUCUGCUUAUGAAAAUUUAUUCAUCCGCCUUAUUACGCGAUGAAAUGAGCUAGCUACACAUACAUUUGUGUGUAAUUGCCGAAGUUCACGGAUUCUCGUAGCAAAAAAACGUUCGUCUAAAUUGCGUACUGCGAUCACCAGCUCUAGUUACCAAGCGACUUGAGUACGAAUAAUAAUUAACUAGAAACAAACGUUAGAGUAAAGAGCUAUAGAAAAAUUGCAACGACUUUAAAAUUUCCUGCCAAAAUCUGAGUAUGAUAAAUGGCAGGUUCUAUUAUUCGUAAAAGUUGAAACCUUUGACUUGCAUAGAACUGUGAGCCGACCCACUUUAUAACACUGCGAAAUCUACUCAAAACGUUCGGCGUUACGUUGACUGUACAGAGCAUGCUCGGGCUCCAUUGCGCAUGCGGGUAUUGGUGCUAAUCGUUCUUGCUAUACAUAAGCAAAUAACGGAAAACGUACGGUGAGCUAAUGAGAACAGCAGCCACGGUGAGAGGGGUACUUUGAUUUAAAUAGCGUUAUAAGAAAUGGACGCAGAUUAAGUACACUAUUACUUGUAUCUGACAUGGUCUUCGCCUCAUAUACUGUCUCUAUUAUAGCUCUUCUUAAGAAAUCAUGCAGUUGGUAGCAAAUUACCUAUCAAAUACAUGAUUUCGGCACAUUGAUAUAAUAGCGCAGUUUCCAAGUGAUUCAAAGCGGACGUUUGAACAUCUCAUCGGUCCUAUCAUUUGAAGAUAUCCAAUUAUAUGUGAUGUGGCAAGUUAACGGUUGCAAAUAGAUUGCUUCGUUAUGAACAAUGAGAAGACCGCGUAGCACUAAUUCUAAAAUAGUUUAAUGAAAACAAGCAACAUGAAUCUUUCGAUUGGCAUUUUUAGAGUACAUAUCAUGCAUCAGUUAACGUGGCCCACAAUGCGACGUCUCGUGUACGCGUUCAGUGAUCUGUAAGGGUGAUCUGAAAUAUACAAACGAACUUGGUGUGUAUGUACAAAGGACGCCCACAGAAUAUGUCUUUCAGCAGUACGAGUGUUACAAUGUGUUUGCCUGUACAGUAAAUUCGGCGUCGUUGACGGUGUCGUCUACAACACACACAUAGACAUUCAUAUAUAUCGAAUGUUUGGACCAGUGAAAGUUGGCGACAACGGCACAUGGCCUUCGCAACUCCCCUGAGCGAACGAGGCCAGGAUGAUGGGUGUCGCAAAUCUUGAUAGGCUGCGUCGACGUCGGGACAGCUGGCGUAAAGCCAGAGGACGUUUGUUUGAACAGAAAGUAGAAAUGCGGGAUCUUACAGGGCCAAAAAGGAUAAACGGGAUUGGACGUGCAUCCUACGUUUGCUUACUGGCGUUGAACUUCACAGAUCAGCAGGGAGCCACUGACCAGAGAUUUCUUGUUUCUUUCCUACUUCUGUUUUUCUGCCACACCAGCGCCUUUGAUGACGAUGCGACGGCUGGCCUAGGCUGGCCGAGAGCUGAGCCUGCAAAACAGUUUGGUACAGCCGCCUCUGCUAAACAGCAAGCAAGAGAACGAAGAGGUGCGCACCAGUAGGACGCUGGCCUUCUAUUGUGAAAUAAGAUGAGGUCAGCAUCUUCGACCUAGAAACGAAACGCUAAACGAUUUCACUGUGAGAUCGAUAGUUUGUUUUAAUAAUGAAAUAAAAAAAUGGCUAAGAAAGCAGAUAAGGCAAGCGGCAAAGUGAGGAUAAUUUACAUUUAACAUUGUUUUCAUUAUGGGUUCUAGUAUAAAUAGCUUAGCGAAUUUGAAUAACGUUGCGUUGCGUUCUAUUUUAAAGAACUUCUUUUUUUUAUUUUUUAAAAAAAUCUCAUUGUACCGGGUGCCUGUCAAACU
rnacentral:lncRNA from 1 species